GCUAGACAAAAGCACUUCCAGCUAAAGGCUACGCUACAUAGCAACCAAAUCCCUCCGGAGAAGUCUGCGCUUGCUGGACAUAGUAAGACUACCCCUUUUCCUGUGAUUCAGAUGGAGCUGAACGCAGUGUUUUUAUUCUUUCUGCAAUUCAAACCAAGUGAAUGCAGUGUAUCCUGAAUCCUGCUGCAGCAGAGACAGAAGAGCUAACCACUGAACAAUGGGGGUCCCGAUCGCUGUUCACCGAAGGAGUCAUUAGAAACCACCGGACUGGGACUGCCUGAGACGGAGCAGCACAGAAGAUGUGCUGCUAGAAGCUGCGGCUACGAGCUAACCACCGUAGCUAAAAGGGAGACGUCCCAUGCUACAGUGAGUAUUAAAAUUAACCUUGUGGAAAAUAGCCUGUUAUUGUGCAUCGGAUUGAUCCAAAUCUCUUUGAGCUGCUGUUGGACGAACGGACUGGACCGAAGACGGGCCUGCAGAAACCGGACCGAGCUGAAGGCCUUCAGACCACCGAACCAAAACAAGUGAACGAUUUAUCACACAGGCUGGAUUCACUCUUCUUUCAGUAGCAUCCGAAUGAACAGAGCAGUCAGAUGAAGGUCCAGCUACUAUCUGCACCUCUUCAAUCAGAGAUUGAAACAGGAGAAGGCUUCAGGACUGUGGUAGACAUCCUGACAUGUACCACUGUCCUACAAAAAACACUCAAUGACUACCUAUCUAUUGCACUGGUAUUGGCCCCAAAUAAACACUAGAGUGUCAUACAAGCAUUGGCUUU